UUUUACACUAUUAAUGGUGGUAUAUAUCAGCGCUUUAGUAAAAUUGCAGUUCAUCAAAGUGAUAAAACCACUACUCUCUUGGCCAAAAUAACUUAUGCAUCUCUAUUCUAGUAUCAGUUUCUCAAGGGUGCUUUUUUUUUCUUCAGAUGCCUUUCUUUUUCUUUUGUUUCCUUUCUUAUUUUAUCUCUCACCUAAAAUUUGGUUUUAUAUUUUUACGGAACACGGUGAGGGUCUUCAGGUUCUCCAUUAUGAAGUUGGUCAGAAAUACGAUCCGCACUAUGAUUCUUUCCAUGAUGAAUUCAAUACCAAGAAUGGGGGUCAACGUAUUGCUACCCUUCUCAUGUAUCUUAUAUCUGUUGCUCAGUUCUCAUGUUGAGGAAGGUGGUGAAACUGUGUUUCCCUUCUGAGAAGGUAAAUAGCAGUUCUUUACCGUGGUAUAAUGAGCUAUCAGACUGUGCAAAGCAGUUUCUUUCUGUUAAAACCAAAAGAUGGGAGAUGCAUUACUCUUCUGGAGCAUGAGGCCAGAUGCCACUCCAGAUCCAUCUAGUUUGCACGGUGGAUGUCCUGUUAUUAAAGGAAAUAAGUGGUCUUCUACAAAGUGGAUGCGCAUGCAUGAGUACAGGGCUUAGCUACCAAACUAAACAAGGUACUGUGUUCGAUCCUUCCUGUGUCUUGAUACCUACACUAGAAAGAAAGUUGAGCUUUGAUAAUAUAAAUAUAUAUAUAUAUAUAUAUAUAUAUUACAUGACUUGCAACAUUCCGAUCUUUUGUUGUUGCAACCUAUCAUAAGCCUUCUGUGGA